UGCUGUUCUCGUGAUAGUGAAUGGGUCUCACGAGAUCUGACGGUUUUAAAAAUAGGAGUUCCCCUACGCAGUCUCUCUUGGCCGGCCUCCCUUCCACUCACGUGGAACUAGACAAUGGGGAUGGAUUUCCCCAAAUAUGUGCUGACUCUUGGGAAAAACUGCCGAGCCAAAAUGUGUCUACAUGAAGGUUGCUGACUCUACAGAGAUUUUGCUUGCAUACCCCAAAUACUGGAUUUAAAAGGAGAAAGUAUUCAACCUGAGGAAGCUGAUAAAAAAAGAAAAACAAAAACAAUUGAGAAAGUAACAGAAAUACAGUUCAAUUUGGCAAAUAUGUAUUGAAUGAUGACUUUUUGACAGAUUUCUCGUAAGAGCCUUCCUUCAGUAAUCACUUACACCAGAAUUUCAUGUCAAGCACUGCUUCAAGAGAUCCUAGCCCAGGACAUCCACCCCUCAAAAGACUGCGUCUCUCAGACUUAACAAAUAAAUAAUCAUACUUUGUGUAGUAAAGAAAUAUUUUAACAAAUGAAUACAGAGUGUUUGGAAAUGAAGUAAUGCACAAAGAUAUACCAUGCAAAUAUGAACAAAAAAGAUGCUUUUGUAACAAUUUUAAGCCCAAGUAAAAAGCCAAUAGAUACCAAUGAAGAAAUGAAUAGUGUUAUGUUUAUACAAGGUUCAUUGAGCAAUAAAAUACUAGUGAAGUUGAAGUGUCUCUGAAUGAAGAAUCAGGUUAAUAAUAGCUGAUUCUAUGUUUUUCAAAUGUCAUUGAUGCUAAUUAUUUUAUUUCACAGACAUUAUAUUCUUCACUCCCACUUUCAAAUUUGAGGAUUUCCACAGAUCUCUAAGAGCAAUUGGUAAAAGCAAAUUGUGUAUCAAGUCCUUCUCAGUGAUUCAGGAAGUUUAGACAACUGUUUUAUUCCAAAUUAAAGUGUGAAACUUGCACAGCUCUAAUUGUGUUAGCUUGGGCUAAUUAUUUCAUAUUUCUGAGUCUUACUUUAAUCAUCUUUAAAAUUAAAAAAGUCCUAAAUUAUAAUAUGUUGAACACCACACAUAAAAAAGUCCUAAAUUAUAAUAUGUUGAAAACCACACAUAAAAUCUCUUAAAGGACUAUCUUAAUCUCUCAGCAAUACCUGCUCUUUUUAUCUUCCUCUCUCUCCUUUUCCUCCCUCUUCUUUUUUAUCUUCCUCCCCCUCCUUUUUUAAAAUGUAGAAGCCA